ACGGUCCUCUGAUCCAUUCUUUUGAUCAGAGAGAAGAUGAAGAGUGUCAAGUAAAUAAUGGCACGUGACUCGGACGAAGUAUCCACGUGCGUCCUCUCCCCACACCCAUGUGGCCCAUAGGAUAUAUGACCGGCUCCGUCGGUCCAACUUGUCCAUGUUCCCCUAUUUAAUUUUUAAACACACCCUGCCGUUAAAUCAAAUU